UAUGUAAUACUUAUAGGCUUAACUUUUGUUUCCAUAGAAACAACUUUUUUUUAAAUACCAUGAGAUAUUGUAUUUAAGAGAUAUUCUAGCUCAGUAUAUGAUGUUUCCAUAUAUCAUCAGCUUAACAAGCACACAUUCUCUGCUGCCAACAGUACCAAUUUGUCAACCAAGCAACAAAUAUUCCUUGGUAAUCUGCUAUCAGAUGGCAUUUUUAUGAAUUAAAGCUUUCAAGGCUUAAUGUUUUGGUCAAGUUUCAGAUUUGUUUAGCAUAAUCCUGUACUACAUAUUAACAAAUAUUUGGUGUGUCUAGUUCAUCUCUCUCACUAUGAAGAUGGCUACACACUAUCAGCAAUGCACCCCUAUGAUAUACAAGUCUUCAUUGCCAAGUCACUCUGCCAAACAGUGUGUACACCUUUCUUGCAAUGGUAGUACUUUACUGUACUUCAAUCACUUCAGGAGUCUGGAUUUGUAAGGCCAAGGAGAUCAAGUUUGUGUCCAAGGUUACUUAAGUAAUUCUCUAAGAACAAUAGGUUUUUUUUUUUUAAAGACAGACACUACAUGUUGCUGAUCUGUGGGUUAGUGGCUCAAUCAUUGUGCACUGAUUCUCCACUGAUGCCUAGAUUGCCAUAAGUUUAUCUACUGAUCUACAGAUCAAGGGACUAAAUGGUCUAUUAAACAUGAGGUCAAGGAAAAAGGAUGAACAUUUCAAGCUGCAGGAGGAACAUUAAGCUUCUCUCACUGUGAAAAGAUUCUACCAAUCUACAAAUGAUCAACAUGUUUUAUCUUAAGUUCAUCUGCCAUUUCUUCAAAUGGAGCCAUAGUCAGAAUAAGGUUCAAAUGUAUCAGUUGUUUUUGUUGACAGAUAUCAAGGUACAGAAAUAAGAAUCUAAUUUAGAGUUUUUUAAAGCUUGAUUAGUCAUAAUAUUUGCACUAUUAUUUCCAAUAUGUGCCAGAGUGUCUGCUAAAUGUAACUAGUAUGAUUAAAAACAUGGUCAUUGCAAAGUCUAACAUAUGGACAAGUAGGAUGCUUGUGGCUUGAUUCAGUGAAAGAAUGUUGGACUAGCAGAAGUGUUAUGGAGUGGGUGUGUGUGUGUUUUUAUGGUGACUGGAAAGAGGUUAGCGAUUGGAUGUGAAUGAUGCAAAAGUGGCAUUGUCGUCACUUGGUCUUAGGGGAGACGACUCCAUAAUGUAAGACUGAAAGGUUGUGUUAUUGUAGUGAGUUAGAUUGUAAGAAAUUUUAUUACUUAAGUCUCUACUACAUUUAUUUCAUGUGAUCACAAGUAUUAUAAAUGUUAUAUUUAGUUUCGUUCACUAGGAAGUUGUUCAAGUUCUUAUUAGCUAAGAUAUAUUAUGCCUUCAACAGUUUAGUUGCCUACCAGCAGUUUGGUGCUACAAGUCAACAACAGUCAGACUAAAUUAAAUAAAGCCAUGUCUAUUUCUACAUGAUUUUGUUGCUACUAACCUGGUUUUACUAACAACUAACUCGAAAAGGGAGAGGGGAAUUAUCAUCUUAUUCAUGUACUAUUUACAUUAGAUUUUUACCAAAUUAUUAAAUUUUUACUACCCUUACUAUUUUAACUGUGAAUAGACCUUGAUUUUAAUGAUUUAACUGUAUAGAAUUUAGCCCCUGUUAUGUAGAGAGAGAGAGAGUAGUCCUUAAGGGACUGCAGGCACGACAUGGCCUAAAUUGUGCAGAUGUGCAUAAAAUCAAAGAAAUAAAACAUUAACAAAAUGUGUAUUAUAAUUGUCACUUUUCCUCUACUUAGAAUUUUUUUCUCUCCUAGAUUUUCAUAAUUUUUUGUUGAAGUCAUUUAAGUUCUCAAUUAUUUUGUGCACCAAGUUACAAGAAAAAAGAGGUCACUACACUAAGACUUUGUCUUCUCAUAAGAAAGGAUGGCUGCCUGGUCAUGUGAUAUGUGCACUGGACUGUGUAUGGUCAUCUUGAUGCUCAUAUCUUGCCUGAUGACAUUUAUUCUGCUGAACAUUUGGUCAAGGAAGUAGAUUCUCUUCAGCUCUCAAGAAACAUUCAAAACAUGUCAAACAUUCGACAAGAAUAUCAAGUGCAAUGUACAUACCAACAUGAUGAAAAGGUAGACAACAUGAAGAUGUAGACCAACAUGAUGAAGAUGUAGACCAACAUGAUGAAGAUGUAGACCAACAUGAAGAUGAAAUGUAAACCAAAAAAUGGGUCAAGAGAUGUAUGGAAUACAAUGUGAACAUCUUGAGAAGUAAAACAAUUCCUAGAGGCAAAGACACAGACACACCGGAUCUAUUAGAGAUUUUCCUUUUCUACCAUCAUUUAGAGACUUCCUUGUGCUCUAAGGGAACCUGUCAUUAUCUUUUGAUUGCUAAUUGGCAUUGAUAUUUUACAUUCCUACUGCGUCUGAAAGAAAUUAACAUUUCCCUAAUGCUACUUCAAAACCAGACCUUCUCAAGACAAUUUUAGUGACCAAGCUGCAAUAUGGGACUCAGUAGGAAACAAUGAAGAAUGCUCCUAACCUCAGGUUGAGUAACCAUGCUCACCUACUAGAGUGGCGACAAAUACUUCUACACCCACAGUUAUACAUCCUGAACCCUGUAACCCAACCUCACAACAUGGUUACAUUACCGGAAGUGGUCGCAAGGUCAGAAAACCUAACAGAUACAAUGGAUAGAACAAUGAACAGGUACAAGUACUCAAGUGAUGUACUUUGUGAGAACUAUUUAGGUGGAAUCACCAUAAUUGACUUGUAUAAAUCUUGUUCUAUAUUUAGGUAUAUCUUGACAAUCAGUCCAGUCAUUUGUUCAUUUUUUUUUUAAAUAUUCCUUUUUUUUCCCUCAAUCUUCUUGUUGUUUCAGUUACAUGUUUUUGUAUUUUGAAGGAGGAAGGUGCUUUGGUAUAUUAUCGUUAUUAUUAUUGUACCAGUAUUAAGCAAACUUGUAUAUCUUUAAUUAUUCAUGAAUUCUAAAGCAGAACGUCACUUCCACCGGAAAAUGUUGUAACAACUAUACGUGUCUUCAGUUAACAUUCAAUUCUCUGUACAGUCACAACGCCAAAGCCUUGCUAGAUUAUGCUUUUAAUUCAAUUUGUUAUCUCCCCUGCUUUAGUGUGCUAUCAUAUAAUUUUUUGUGUCACAUCCCUGCACAAUUUGUUCUAUGCUUUUUUACAGUAUAAAUAGCGACUUGACAUUAUUUAGCUCUAUUAUAAUAUUGUUAUAUUAUUAUAUUUAAAAUCAAACUGUUAACAUAUUCUAUGCUGUUAUAAUAUAAAUGUUUUGCUGUUACCAUGAAUACAGUUUUGAGUUUUUGUCCGAUAUCUUAGAGGAGAAAUUUUUCAUAAAUAAUAAUAAUAAGGCUUAUCUUCAAGUCCGAAGAUUAGUGAGAAGUAUGCAGUAUUCCCCAGCUAGGACCUACAUAUUUUGCUAUAAAUAAAGAGUAUAAUAAUAUUUACUACUUGGUAUUGUCAGUCUUCACUAAAGCAAUGAGUUUAUCCCCUUAGUGUGUUUAAAAUUUUCAAAUACUAAUUCACUUUGUAUUAUCUAUUGGUGAUCAUGGGGUAUCCACUUUGUCAUCUCCAUAGUCUCUGGUGUUAACACUCAGUGUCCUGUUGGAGGUUACGGCUAAGAUGUUAUCUCUCUUUCUGAUGGAACACAUGUAAAACCAACAAAACAAACAUUAGACCUAGACUUUAUUAACAGGUAAAUUUUUAUAAUUGUGAACUGGCGCUCCCAAAGCUACUUUUAUGUAUUUUAAAUUUUACUUCUGUAGGCUAGUGCUAAGCUGUAUACUUGUAUUUCUGCCUAUUAUAUGGGUUAGGGUGGAGUACUUAAAAUAGAGCCUAUGCUGUUUCCUGUACUGUUGACCAGUGGUCUCUGUGUCAGUUUUAAUUAUUCUGUACCUGGGACUGCCUGUAAGUUUCAGAAUUUUUCUUUUAUUUUUUAAAAUUUUACUGUGUGUAAAUCUGUUUUAUAUUUGAACAACUGUCAAAAUAACUAGCAGUUUUUUUUUUCUAAAGUUUGUUUUAAAACUAUGGCCAAGCCCUGUCCAGUGCUGUCAUGAUGGCCACUUCUAAUGUUUAUGUACUAGAUUGUAACUGCUGCCUUAGUCAUUGAAAUUAAAGUCUCAUUUUUGAAUUUCUU